rnacentral:rRNA from 1 species
GACGAACGCUGGCGGCGUGCUUAACACAUGCAAGUCGAACGAUGAAGAAGAGAAACGCGAACUUCGGUUCAGAUUUCACUUCGGAUUAGUGGCAGACGGGUGAGUAACGCGUGAGCAACCUACCUCUUACAAAGGGAUAGCCUCGGGAAACCGUGAUUAAUACCAUAUGACACAUUCAUAAGGCAUCUUAAGAAUGUUAAAGCUACGGCGGUAAGAGAUGGGCUCGCGUCCCAUUAGCUAGUUGGUGAGGUAACGGCCCACCAAGGCGACGAUGGGUAACCGGCCUGAGAGGGUGAACGGUCACAUUGGAACUGAGACACGGUCCAAACUCCUACGGGAGGCAGCAGUGGGGAAUAUUGCACAAUGGAGGGAACUCUGAUGCAGCGACGCCGCGUGAGCGAUGAAGGAAUUCGUUUCGUAAAGCUCUGUUCUAUGGGAAGAAAAGGACUGUACCAUAGGAGAAAGCCCCGGCUAAAUACGUG